rnacentral:lncRNA from 1 species
AUUUGAACACGUAAUGCAGUUUUUGGGUGACCGUUGAAAAUGCUCAAGUUUCCUGCAGGAACUCCACACAUCCCGUCACACAACGAAAAAGGCAACACUACGGCCAUCACAUGCAUUUACAUUGCAUGCCCAUGAACUUGGAUGAAGACAUAAUUUACUCUAUAGCAGUGAGAAUAAUACAUCGCACUACAGUGCAUAAUAUCAGAUGGCGCAUGCACACACACCAUCUCGUGCAUUCACAACUUAANNN